GUGGGGAAUUUUGGACAAUGGGCGCAAGCCUGAUCCAGCAAUGCCGCGUGCAGGAAGAAGGCCUUCGGGUUGUAAACUGCUUUUGUACGGAACGAAACGGUCCUGGUUAAUACCCGGGGCUAAUGACGGUACCGUAAGAAUAAGCACCGGCUAACUACGUGCCAGCAGCCGCGGUAAUACGUAGGGUGCAAGCGUUAAUCGGAAUUACUGGGCGUAAAGCGUGCGCAGGCGGUGCUGUAAGACAGGCGUGAAAUCCCCGGGCUUAACCUGGGAAUUGCGCUUGUGACUGCAGUGCUGGAGUGCGGCAGAGGGGGAUGGAAUUCCGCGUGUAGCAGUGAAAUGCGUAGAUAUGCGGAGGAACACCGAUGGCGAAGGCAAUCCCCUGGGCCUGCACUGACGCUCAUGUACGAAAGCGUGGGGAGCAAACAGGAUUAGAAACCCCAGUAGUCC
rnacentral:rRNA from 1 species